UACAGAGGUGGCAAGCGUUGUUCGGAAUUAUUGGGCGUAAAGGGCUCGUAGGCGGUCUGUUGCGUCGGGAGUGAAAACUCAGGGCUUAACCCUGAGCCUGCUUCCGAUACGGGCAGACUAGAGGUAUGCAGGGGAGAACGGAAUUCCUGGUGUAGCGGUGAAAUGCGCAGAUAUCAGGAGGAACACCGGUGGCGAAGGCGGUUCUCUGGGCAUUACCUGACGCUGAGGAGCGAAAGUGUGGGGAGCGAACAGG
rnacentral:rRNA from 1 species